rnacentral:rRNA from 1 species
UGCCAGCCGCCGCGGUAAUACGUAGGUGGCGAGCGUUAUCCGGAAUUACUGGGCGUAAAGCGCACGCAGGCGGCUUGUCGGGUCUGACGUGAAAUCUCUUGGCUUAACCGGGAGGGGUCGUUGGAAACUGGCGAGCUUGAGGCGAUGAGAGGGACAUGGAAUUCCCGGUGUAGUGGUGGAAUGCGUAGAUAUCGGGAGGAACACCAGAGGCGAAAGCGGUGUCCUGGCAUUGGCCUGACGCUCAUGUGCGAAAGCGUGGGGAGCGAACGGGAUUAGAUA